GACCAGACUCCUACGGGAGGCAGCAGUGGGGGAUAUUGCACAAUGGGGGAAACCCUGGUGCAGCGACGCCGCGUGAAGGAAGAAGUAUCUCGGUAUGUAAACUUCUAUCAGCAGGGAAGAAAAUGACGGUACCUGACCAAGAAGCCCCGGCUAACUACGUGCCAGCAGCCGCGGUAAUACGUAGGGGGCAAGCGUUAUCCGGAUUUACUGGGUGUAAAGGGAGCGUAGGCGGCGACGCAAGUCAGAAGUGAAAGCCCGGGGCUCAACUCCGGGACUGCUCUGGAAACUGCGUCGCUGGAGUACGGGAGGGGCAGGCGGAAUUCCUGGUGUAGCGGUGAAAUGCGUAGAUAUCAGGAGGAACACCGGCGGCGAAGGCGGCCUGCUGGACCGUGACUGACGUUGAGGCUCGAGAGCGUGGGGAGCAAACAGGAUUAGAUACCCGAGUAC
rnacentral:rRNA from 1 species